rnacentral:misc_RNA from 1 species
GCGACGCGGCCUGCAUCGGCGCCGGCACCGAAGUAUAUGUCCGCGCGCGCCGGACCGAUGAUCGCCGAGCCGGUGUCCUGCGCGAUCAUCAACCGGCGGAACGGCGUGUUCGAUGUGUCUGACUCAAUCGNNNNNNNNNUGGCGUGCCAUAAACGUGCAGCGACUUGUCGACCGCGAUCGAACGCCCCGCCGUCAGCGGC